rnacentral:lncRNA from 1 species
GUUGAUGCCAAUUGGAAAAAUCCAAUCAUGGGAGACCAGUGAAUGCCGUGACUCAUCAGACCACCAGGAAAAGCUUGUGAGAAGUCUUAAUUUGCCUGACUUAGGUACAUUUUCUAUCUUUCACCUGGACGGCCAUUGACAGGAAUGCCACAGUAAUAUUGCACGAGGUGAGAAAUCCCAGAUGCCCUUCAUGCUUU